rnacentral:rRNA from 1 species
UACGUAGGGGGCAAGCGUUGUCCGGAAUCAUUGGGCGUAAAGCGCGUGUAGGCGGCUCGAUAAGUCUGCUGUGAAAGUUCAGGGCUCAACCCUGAAAUGCCGGUGGAAACUGUCGAGCUAGAGUCCGGAAGAGGCGAGUGGAAUUCCUGGUGUAGCGGUGAAAUGCGCAGAUAUCAGGAGGAACACCGGUGGUGUAGACGGCUUACUACAGGAUGAUUGACGCUGAGGCACGAAAGCGUGGGGAGCAAACAGG